GGGUUGUGAGGUUAAGCGACUAAGCGUACACGGUGGAUGCCCUGGCAGUCAGAGGCGAUGAAGGACGUGCUAAUCUGCGAUAAGCGUCGGUAAGGUGAUAUGAACCGUUAUAACCGGCGAUUUCCGAAUGGGGAAACCCAGUGUGUUUCGACACACUAUCAUUAACUGAAUCCAUAGGUUAAUGAGGCGAACCGGGGGAACUGAAACAUCUAAGUACCCCGAGGAAAAGAAAUCAACCGAGAUUCCCCCAGUAGCGGCGAGCGAACGGGGAGCAGCCCAGAGCCUGAAUCAGUGUGUGUGUUAGUGGAAGCGUCUGGAAAGGCGCGCGAUACAGGGUGACAGCCCCGUACACAAAAAUGCACAUGCUGUGAGCUCGAUGAGUAGGGCGGGACACGUGGUAUCCUGUCUGAAUAUGGGGGGACCAUCCUCCAAGGCUAAAUACUCCUGACUGACCGAUAGUGAACCAGUACCGUGAGGGAAAGGCGAAAAGAACCCCGGCGAGGGGAGUGAAAAAGAACCUGAAACCGUGUACGUACAAGCAGUGGGAGCACGCUUAGGCGUGUGACUGCGUACCUUUUGUAUAAUGGGUCAGCGACUUAUAUUCUGUAGCAAGGUUAACCGAAUAGGGGAGCCGAAGGGAAACCGAGUCUUAACUGGGCGUUAAGUUGCAGGGUAUAGACCCGAAACCCGGUGAUCUAGCCAUGGGCAGGUUGAAGGUUGGGUAACACUAACUGGAGGACCGAACCGACUAAUGUUGAAAAAUUAGCGGAUGACUUGUGGCUGGGGGUGAAAGGCCAAUCAAACCGGGAGAUAGCUGGUUCUCCCCGAAAGCUAUUUAGGUAGCGCCUCGUGAAUUCAUCUCCGGGGGUAGAGCACUGUUUCGGCAAGGGGGUCAUCCCGACUUACCAACCCGAUGCAAACUGCGAAUACCGGAGAAUGUUAUCACGGGAGACACACGGCGGGUGCUAACGUCCGUCGUGAAGAGGGAAACAACCCAGACCGCCAGCUAAGGUCCCAAAGUCAUGGUUAAGUGGGAAACGAUGUGGGAAGGCCCAGACAGCCAGGAUGUUGGCUUAGAAGCAGCCAUCAUUUAAAGAAAGCGUAAUAGCUCACUGGUCGAGUCGGCCUGCGCGGAAGAUGUAACGGGGCUAAACCAUGCACCGAAGCUGCGGCAGCGACGCUUAUGCGUUGUUGGGUAGGGGAGCGUUCUGUAAGCCUGCGAAGGUGUGCUGUGAGGCAUGCUGGAGGUAUCAGAAGUGCGAAUGCUGACAUAAGUAACGAUAAAGCGGGUGAAAAGCCCGCUCGCCGGAAGACCAAGGGUUCCUGUCCAACGUUAAUCGGGGCAGGGUGAGUCGACCCCUAAGGCGAGGCCGAAAGGCGUAGUCGAUGGGAAACAGGUUAAUAUUCCUGUACUUGGUGUUACUGCGAAGGGGGGACGGAGAAGGCUAUGUUGGCCGGGCGACGGUUGUCCCGGUUUAAGCGUGUAGGCUGGUUUUCCAGGCAAAUCCGGAAAAUCAAGGCUGAGGCGUGAUGACGAGGCACUACGGUGCUGAAGCAACAAAUGCCCUGCUUCCAGGAAAAGCCUCUAAGCAUCAGGUAACAUCAAAUCGUACCCCAAACCGACACAGGUGGUCAGGUAGAGAAUACCAAGGCGCUUGAGAGAACUCGGGUGAAGGAACUAGGCAAAAUGGUGCCGUAACUUCGGGAGAAGGCACGCUGAUAUGUAGGUGAGGUCCCUCGCGGAUGGAGCUGAAAUCAGUCGAAGAUACCAGCUGGCUGCAACUGUUUAUUAAAAACACAGCACUGUGCAAACACGAAAGUGGACGUAUACGGUGUGACGCCUGCCCGGUGCCGGAAGGUUAAUUGAUGGGGUUAGCGCAAGCGAAGCUCUUGAUCGAAGCCCCGGUAAACGGCGGCCGUAACUAUAACGGUCCUAAGGUAGCGAAAUUCCUUGUCGGGUAAGUUCCGACCUGCACGAAUGGCGUAAUGAUGGCCAGGCUGUCUCCACCCGAGACUCAGUGAAAUUGAACUCGCUGUGAAGAUGCAGUGUACCCGCGGCAAGACGGAAAGACCCCGUGAACCUUUACUAUAGCUUGACACUGAACAUUGAGCCUUGAUGUGUAGGAUAGGUGGGAGGCUUGGAAGUGUGGACGCCAGUCUGCAUGGAGCCGACCUUGAAAUACCACCCUUUAAUGUUUGAUGUUCUAACGUUGACCCGUAAUCCGGGUUGCGGACAGUGUCUGGUGGGUAGUUUGACUGGGGCGGUCUCCUCCUAAAGAGUAACGGAGGAGCACGAAGGUUGGCUAAUCCUGGUCGGACAUCAGGAGGUUAGUGCAAUGGCAUAAGCCAGCUUGACUGCGAGCGUGACGGCGCGAGCAGGUGCGAAAGCAGGUCAUAGUGAUCCGGUGGUUCUGAAUGGAAGGGCCAUCGCUCAACGGAUAAAAGGUACUCCGGGGAUAACAGGCUGAUACCGCCCAAGAGUUCAUAUCGACGGCGGUGUUUGGCACCUCGAUGUCGGCUCAUCACAUCCUGGGGCUGAAGUAGGUCCCAAGGGUAUGGCUGUUCGCCAUUUAAAGUGGUACGCGAGCUGGGUUUAGAACGUCGUGAGACAGUUCGGUCCCUAUCUGCCGUGGGCGCUGGAGAACUGAGGGGGGCUGCUCCUAGUACGAGAGGACCGGAGUGGACGCAUCACUGGUGUUCGGGUUGUCAUGCCAAUGGCACUGCCCGGUAGCUAAAUGCGGAAGAGAUAAGUGCUGAAAGCAUCUAAGCACGAAACUUGCCCCGAGAUGAGUUCUCCCUGAC
rnacentral:rRNA from 1 species